AAAAGCACAAAAUAUUAUAACUAUCGAUGUUAGCAUAUUCAGGAAUCUCUCCUCUAUCUUUUAAGAUUAAGCGGAACUGUCUGAUGUUUUUAAUUUUCGCGUAAUACCUCGUUUUUGCCAAAAAUUGGACGUUUUCGCAAAAACUCGUGUUUUUCGAAAACUGAGGGUGAUACAGCAAUUCCAUUUUCACAUUCGUGUUUAGGAAACAGAGCUCUACAAGAAUCACCUAGUGGGUACGGAAAAACAAAAUUCGUGUUGAACAGUGUUAUCGAUAGAAUGACGCCAUUUUUUUUUUGUGGGGGUUACAUCAAACAACAGAUUUAUAAAAUAUCGCUACGAAGCACUGCAGAUUUACAAAACAGACUUCAAACUGUGUGUGAAAAUAUUCCAACGGAUACUCUAAUAAACGUGGAAAAGGAGUUUGUCAAAGUAGAUUUAGAAAUAAACAUAAAAGUCUAUAAAUUAUAAUAGUUGUUAUAUUCAAUGGCUUCUUUGUUAGCUAUUCGUUGGCUACUCUCCAGGUGACGUGAUUAGGUUAGGUCAACACGACGCGCGAGUGAUAGUGAAAUUAGAAAAAUGACGCCUUUCUUUAAAUAACGAUAUCUCUGAAACGGAAAGUCGGAUCGACGUUAAACAAAAAUGAUUUCAAAGAGGAAGCUUUGCCUCUCCUAACAGUGGUACUGUUAUGCGGGCAAACACGAGUACUGUAAUUACGUGGAGUGGUGACCACAGAAUAAAUAAAUUUCAGGAAGGAGACGGCUCCAAACUGAAGGCGUGGUUGGAAGUGCUUUUGCGACGCGUUUUGCUGAAAACCAAGUCAGAGUAAGCGACACGAAUAAAAUACAGAUCAAAGAGGAAAAGUCGGGACUGUCCGACGCAGAUUUUAACGAGUGCCGUGGGACAAAGGUAUAUACCAUACCUAUCGCUUGAACCAUCGUUUUCUUUGAAUACUAAUGGUAAUCAAGCUGUACGAUUCAAAGGGCUUAGCCUACGUUAGAAAACUAAAAUUCGAAUGCAUUACACAAAUGGAUAACGCUGUCAUUUUUUAACAAGGAGACAAAAUUAAUCG